UCCAGACUCCUACGGGAGGCAGCAGUGAGGAAUAUUGGUCAAUGGGCGGGAGCCUGAACCAGCCAUGCCGCGUGAAGGCGAGUGCCCUACGGGCGUUAAACUUCUUUUGUGCGGGAGCAAUAAGGGCCACGUGUGGCCCGAUGAGAGUACCGCACGAAUAAGCAUCGGCUAACUCCGUGCCAGCAGCCGCGGUAAUACGUAGGGAGCAAGCGUUGUCCGGAAUUACUGGGCGUAAAGGGCGCGUAGGUGGGCGCUUAAGUCAGGUGUGAAAACUCCGGGCUCAACCUGGAGACUGCACUUGAAACUGGGUGUCUUGAGGGCAGGAGAGGAAAGUGGAAUUCCUAGUGUAGCGGUGAAAUGCGUAGAUAUUAGGAGGAACACCAGUGGCGAAGGCGACUUUCUGGACUGUACCUGACGCUGAGGCGCGAAAGCGUGGGUAGCGAACGGGAUUAGAUACCCGAGUAU
rnacentral:rRNA from 1 species